rnacentral:tRNA from 1 species
GCACUGGUGGUUCAGUGAUAGAACUCUCACCUUUCAUGCAGGAGACCUGAGUUCAAUUCCAGCCAGUGCA